GCAAAGCAAACAAAAAUCUAAAGAAGAUGAUGACCUUUCUCCAUGGGCUUGGGUGGAUCACAAGCUCGCCACUACACCAAAAGUGAAUCCAGUUUCCAAAGGGCACGUUGAAAACCGGCGUUAUCUGGAAGAGCUACCCCUUGACCAGAAAAAAUCCAUUGGAAUGGUGGAGACAGAACAAUUACAGCUACCCUCAUUUGAGCCAAGUUGUUAGGGAUAAACGUUGCUGUUUGGCAACAUCAGUACCUUGUGAGCGCCUGUUUUUAAAAGCAGGCUACAUUUUAAAAGAAGACUGGAAAUGCAAAAAAAUGUAAAACCAGCUGGAACAGAGUUCAAACAGGUAUUGCAAGUAAGUGGAUUGAAUGUGAGACUUGUAAGUGCUGGUUUCAAGCUAAAUGCAUUUCCAACAAACAUUGUACGGACUUUUGGUUUUUUUACGGAUUCUGAAUUCAGAUGAUUCUGACUCAGAGGAUGAAAUUUAAAUUCAUUUGUGAAAGAUGUGCAUAUUUUGACUCUGACAUUGAUGGUGCGUUUUUCAGCAGCGCAGACAAUGAGGAGUUUUAAAUUGCUAAAUUAAGGCUUAAGCUGUGUCUUAGCCUAUUUUGUCUGGUGAAUUUUCAAAGUUUUAUGAAGACUUAUCUUUAGACAAGAAUAGCUUAGGCGUAUUCAUAAAAGUCUGGGGUAUUAAAUAUUUAUGAAAGACUGAUCUAUGUUUACAAAGGUUGAUGUUAUACCAUUAGAAGACUAAUGUUUAGAAGACAUGUUUUAGAAAUCGGAGGAGACUCGCGGCCUACAACACAAGUAUUACCUAGGAGACGGCGACAGCUCGUCUUUCCCACAGUAGCAACUGCAAUGCCCUUUGGUCAAGAUUUCAUAAUUAAAAAACAAGAAUGUAUAGGUCAUAUAACGAAAAGGAUGAGAAAUAGGCUGAUGACAUUGAAAAAAAAAAUGGGAAAAAACUGCAUUAUCGGAUGGGAAGUCUAUUGGUGGUCGCACCCGUUUGACAGAGGCAUCAACCUUAAAAAUUCAGUAUUACUGUGACCAGGCUAUUAGGAAGAACUGUUCCAGCCUCGAAGACAUAACAACUGUCAAAAGAGCAGAAUACUUUCACCUUUUAGCUUCGGACGCUAUUAUCUCUGCCAAAAGAACCCGAGACAUGGUGUAAGUACCGAAAAUCAAUUAUCACACAGGAGCCCUAUGACCAUAGUAAGCCUUCUUCCAGAAGUUGUAAUGAAGAAAAUAAAGCCAAUAUUUCAGGACCUCUCCAACCCAGACAUUUUACGACGGUGCUUAAAUGGUGCAACGCAAAAACCAUGCGAAUCUUUGAAUAAUAUUAUAUGGUCCACAAUUCCAAAUCAACUUUUGUCAUGAAGACAACUUUGGAGACAGGAGUUUAUGAGACAAUUACAUCCUUCAUUAAGGAAAAUAUAGUAAAAUGCCAAAUUCUGUCUAGGCUUGGUAUUGCUCCUGGAAGUAAAUGUGUUAGAUAUUUAUAAAUCAUUCUAAAGAAAUCUAUAUUUAACAACAAAACCUGCACAAAUAAUUUAAAUUUUUUCACCUUGUUUUUUAAAAAAAUAUCCUAAUUUGAUAACAAUGUUUAUAUUAUUCCGAUGCCAUUUUAUUCAGUAGUGUAGUGAAAAAUAUCGUGCAAAUUUCUAGAGAAAUGGUUAUGCAAUGUUCGGGAAUCUUUACAACACAUUUGGGUUUUGGUAUGUUUGUAAACUAAGCAAAUCCCACUUUCCACACUUGUUACGAAAUAUACUAUUUAACUUGGCUUACCUUUGUAUAAAGUAUUCCGUCACUUCUUCGAUAGGUUUGAUGUAUUUCCGUACUGUCUGCAAUUGUAAACAUGGCUUUUGCACUUUAGUCCUAAACUCUCUCCAUGGUUCUCCAUGCCUGUAAUCAAACAAUCUGAUAAAAUUUAAUUUCAGUUGAUUAUACGAUAGUCUGCUUUAAAAAUUGCUACUAGAAAAAUGUAUAUAAAUCAAAUGAUUGCGGCUUUGCGGUAAAAUAGUAUACAUUGAAAGAAUUAAAGACUACAAAAGAAUAUACUAUAUUUUCUAUGAUUUUGCAGGUUUUAGGUAUUUGCAGAAAAGUGAAUAGUCAGGUUGGGUAGCAGGAAUAUAUUUCAGUUCUGGCGGAGAGGCUGCAAUUUUAGGUGGUUAUAAUAUACAAGUUUCUGAACCUAAAACCGCCCAGACCCCAAUUUUUAAGGACCUCGGUCGUCCGUAAUGACGUCAUCAAAAUGGCGGCCGUAAGAGGAUGCUGGGUCCCCAUGAAUUAGCUAUAACGACCGAAUGCCUGAACCGAUUUUCAUGAAAUUUGGCACACAAGUGCUUGAAUACAUUAUCUCAACCUGGGUUGAAAAUGGUCAAGUUUCAUCAAGUCAUUUCCAAAUGGCGGCCGUUAAAACCUAAAAUAAAAAAAAAUCAUUCAGUGUUUUGUGUUCUCAAUUCCCUCCAGAGAUCUGCAGCAACCUAUUCACUUCCCUUGCAAUAAAAGGUUGCAUUACCGUCUCUGCAUUUCAUGGAAUAGGCAAAAUACCCCCACCACAGCCAACCUGCAGAUCUUCAUAGAUCUAUCUACUACAUAGAUCUAUGUUGUAUCCUUUACUAUAAAGCGUAACUAUGCUGCCGGCUAGGCGGGAAUAAUUAUCAACUGAGCUAACCACACCCACUUAAUUUAGCCUAUUUUUCAGACAAUGUACAGAAGUUGACAGAGGGCCAAUGUUGCCCUUUACAAGGUCAGAUAUAGACACUGAUGACAACUUAAAAAGAAAAGCAAAGCCAAACAAGAAGUAUUUUUUAACUUAUCACCUUCCUCAUCUGAGUCUUCCCUCAAUUCGAGUGUAUCUCAUGACGAUGAACCCUCAUCAAAGAAAGCCAAAAAAUGUCUUUGGGCUCAAACUGAGAAGACGUAAAAUGAGGUUAAAAGCAGCCCAUGUUAGAUGCAACCUUCUAACUAUAGAUUAUGUAAAACAGAAGAUUAAGUUUACUGGUGCUUAAUAUUAUUUGAAUUACUGCUAUUAAGGUUGUAAAUUCCACUUAGGCCUAUGUACAAAUAUGCUUUUAUAUCUCUAUCUCUAAAACUAUGUUCAUCUUAUUUAUCAUUUAAUCUUCUAUAUUGUCUGGUUUAAUUUAUUGACGUAUUUCCCAUUGGCAAGAACUAGAAUAUUUAAUUAUCAAACUGUUGUUACCUUUGCCUUUUUUUAAUGCAAGAACAGUGGUUUUGUUUUUCUUGAAAAAUAAGCAUUUCAAAUCAAAAGGGUAGCCUCAUAUUUCUUUAGCUCAAAUUACAAACUAUGACUAUUACAUGAUGCGUUGUUCAACAGUCAAUCAAUUUGCUGAAUAUAGAUUAUUCUGGAUCCAAACACAAACAUGCAGAUUCCUUGUACUUAAAACUUAAUUGUAUUGUUAAUAUAGCAAAAUCAAAACCUCCAAAUCUGAAUGGUUUUUAUUUUAAAAAUUAAACCUCUUGUUUUUUUCAGCAUUUGAAACUAUAUGCAUUAGAAACCAAAAUUUUAUCAAAGAGAUGCUAUUGACUAUUAGGGGAGACCUAAGCAAACUCCAAGAAAAAAUUGCAAAUGUUGAACAAGCUAGAUUGAUUACAGAAGUCCAGCUGACACAAAAAGUGUCAGAAUUUGUUAAUCACUUGCCCUGUAAAACUCUUGAAGAGUUAAAUGAACUUGAAGAGGAACUGGCUGACAAAAAUAAGAAACUGAAAUGAUAAAUUAUCUGGUAAGAGUUGGAGGAGCCAAUGCUGCUGACUGCUGCGUCUCCAUUACCGAUGAGCUGUCAUUGGAAGCAACGGAAAAGGCUGUAGAGGGCGGCAUCAAAGAUUGGCACCGACCAUCCACAAAUCGGCUCCUGAGUAAACCAAAAAAGUUGAGGGAGGCCAGGAGGUUGGGGAUGCGGCGUAAUCUCCAGCGGAGUGUGGAAUGUUGAACAACCUUGAGGGGGGAUUCUGAAAACAUCUGAGCCAAUUUGAGUUUCAUAAAUA